UUAAGUUCAGCGGGUAUUCCUACCUGAUCCGAGGUCAAUUUUCAGAAAGUUGGGGUGUUUUACGGCAAGAAGUCUUACUAGUCUUUAAAAACGAGGUAAAAUUACUACGCUCAAAAUUCUAGCGAGCCCGCCACUAAAUUUGAGAGGGGGCCUUUUUACAGGCCUUCCUCCAACAACAAAGCUAGGCUUUGAGGGUUGAA
rnacentral:misc_RNA from 1 species